CAACCACUCCUCUGACUCAAUUCUAGGCCUCCUUUACUUUGAUUCCUUUUCUAUUCAAUUAUUUAAUGUUAUUUACAUUAUGAAUUAAAUAGUAUAAUGAUAUUACAGCUUUUUAUAUCAUGGUACAGUCUCGCCAUCCUACGGUCCAUAAUGAGUCUCGAUUUCCAGGUUACAUAGUACAUGUACACCACCACAGUCACAGCAGUUCAUGUUUGAUGACACCAUCAACCAUCAUACCUAAAAUCUAAUGGUGGGUUUCUCUUCUGUUCAUGUAGUAAAUCCCGUACGAGGUGUUGCCAUCAGACUCAUCUAGGAAAUCCAACGGUGGAAAUGGAUUUUAUCGCAUGUAUAUACAUGUUAUCAUGUACACGCCAUACAUUAGAGAGAGAGAGAGAGAGAGAGAGAGAGAGAGAGAGUGCAUGAGGUCGUGGUCAUUUCUGGAACUGAAAAACCAGCUGGUAGGGUCGGGCCUCCACCUAUCUUUUGUCUUUUUUAACAUUGGCUUUCCACCCUUUUUACUCUUCUUAUAACCCCCGUGCCAUAUCAUUCCCUUCAUCAUCUCUUCAUGAUCACCAAAAUCUCUCUCUCUCUCUCUCUCUCUCUCUCUCUCUCUCAUCCCCCUUGAAGAUAGGCGAGACUCUUGGGGGAUAUAAAGAGAUAAGAGAAACUAUCUCAGAAAAAAUACACGCUCGCGCACCAAUUUCAUCUCUCAUAUGAAUUCAACACCAUCUUCAAAGGAAGCUUCUCUUUUGAGGGGAAUGUUGUCUGGCUCGAGGACUCUCUUUUGAUCCAUUUUUCCUCAAAUUAUAUCCAUAGAUCUAAGCAUAUGUGGAUAUAGAGAGUAGAUUGAUCAUCAGCUAGUGUCGUCGGACCAGGCUUCAUUCCCCCCAAUUAAUGCUUCCAUCCUGACUUUUCAAGGCUUGCAUGUAAAGGUUUGAUUUUCUACAAUUAAAUCCCUUUUUUCUUUUUCUCUAAUUUGUCAUAUUGGUCUUUUUUUGGGAAACACCGGCAGUUCUAGAUCAUGGGUUUUCAUUUUUAGGGUAAUCAAGGUUGUUAGACCCUUGCAGACUGGUGUAAUGAUGAAGUAUUUGACCAUCUACUUUGAAUAAAAGUUUCAUCAUUACUCCCUUUUUAUUUUCUUUUUCUGUUGUUGCGAUGAUGGUGUUUUUUUGUCAGCCUUUUCUAGUUAUCAUUAUGCAGAUUUCUCUCAUGAUGGCUUUGCAGUAUCUGAUCUGUUUGUUUCUGGUACCUUCAGAUCUGGCUUUGAACUCGGGUAAACAACAUGCUUAAGCAGUGAGCUCUUUCCCAUUUGUGUGCUUCUCGUUGUACAUUUUAGGGGUUAGCAAUAAAACCAUUGGAUCAACAAGGGUUGAGUCGUUGGUGAGUAAUAUACUCUCUGCCCAAGUGAUAUUUUUUAUAGGAGUGUUGGGUGGGGGACAUCCCGAAUGAAUGUAAUGAAAGCAGUUGAUUUGAAAGAUGAGCAAACUAGUGGCCUAGCUACAAUGCUCUCUACGGCAUUAGCGACACGUCUUCUUCCCCCCCGCCCCUAUCUCGCCUUCCUUCUCUCUUCCUCAAACAUACAGACUUUCACAGUGCAUGGAAAAAUGUGAGACUAGGUGGGGAAUAGCCAUGAAUGUUUCUGUGCUCCUUCCCACCCUGUUCAUGUAUGAAAAGCUUUGGCAUCUAUUUUUAAUUUGAUUAGUCAUAGGUGUAUUUGCUUGGACCUUGACAUCAAUCAGAACAGUGUUGCUGCUAUAUUAAUUCAAAGAUAAGGUUGUUUUGCCUUUUCCUAAA